rnacentral:rRNA from 1 species
AUGGCCCCUCCGUCGGCGGCGCCCAUCGAGGUGCUGGAGGGCACGGGCGAGAGCUCCUCGCCGCCCAGGUCCUCCGCCGCCCACGACGAGCUGCGGCGUAAGAUAUACGAGCGCCUGGUGCAGGCCGGCAAGCAGGGGGACUGUGAUGAUGCCUCGUUCCGGGACAUGCUCGACGCCCAUUUCGACAAGCUGCCACCCAGGUACCUGACGGACCUGAGUGAAAGCAAGGCGGAGGAUGUGCUGCUCCACCGGGAGGUCCUCGACGAGUGCGCCCACAACGGCAACCAGCCCGUCUUCCGAGCUCGAUUCCUAAAGUACAUGGCAGUUCAACUUCAACCGGAAUGGGAGGAUGCCAGUCCCGACUCUGAUACAUAUCAAAGGUUAUUGGAAGACCUCACUUUGGAGAGGGUACAUGGCACCGACACCACGGGCUCUAUGUCUUCGCCAUCAAGGGAUUCAGAACCUGCCCUUCUUCAUGAGAUCAUCUUCUCUUCCCUCGACAAGCCCAAGCUCCUUAGCCGGCUAACUGCAUUGCUAUCUGAAGUUGGACUGAAUAUUCAAGAAGCUCAUGUUUACUCCACAACUGAUGGCUUUUGUUUGGAUGUUUUUGUUGUUGAUGGGUGGAAGACACAGGAGACAGAGGCGUUGAUUGCGACAAUUGAGGAUACAUUAAUGAGAAAAAAUGGAGCACCACCUAACUCAGCAAAUGCUUCAUCCUCGGAGAAAAUACUUGAGCUACGGGAACAGCUUGUGGAUUGUGAAAUCGACUGGAACAUACUAGCAGUGGGGGAAAAGAUCACAUCUGGGUCUUCUGCAGACUUAUAUAGAGGAAUACAUAGUGGUUUGGAUGUUUGUAUAAAGAUACUCAGGAGCGCACAUCAGAACAGCCCUUCAGAAGUUGAGUUCUUGCAGCAGGCGCUCAUGCUAAGGAGAGUGAAGCACGAAAACAUCCUUACAUUUUAUGGGGCAUGCACAAAGCAUCGAAAGUAUUGUGCCAUUGUAACAGAAUACAUGCCUGGAGGCGAUUUAUAUGAAUUUGUACACAAGCAAAAUGAUGUUUUGGACCUCCUUCUGAUUCUAAGGCUUGCUAUGAGCAUCUCAAAAGGAAUGGAAUGUCUGCACCAGCACAACAUAAUCCAUAGAGAUCUGAAGACUGCAAACAUUCUCAUGGGCAACAAUCAUGUUGUGAAGAUUGCAGACUUUGGUGUGGCUCGAGUUGGUACUCAGGAGGGACAAAUGACGGCUGAAACUGGAACUUACAGAUGGAUGGCACCUGAGAUUAUUAACCAUAAGCCUUAUGAUCACAAAGCGGAUGUAUUCAGCUUUGCUAUUGUUCUAUGGGAAUUGAUUACACUAAAGGUCCCUUAUGAUAACAUGACACCCUUGCAAGCUGCAUUGGGAGUGAGGCAGGGAUUGCGUUUGGAGAUUCCGGCAGGUGUGCACCCAGGAUUGUCGAAACUGAUCGAGCAGUGCUGGGAUGAAGAUCCUGAUACAAGACCUGUUUUUGCGGAGAUCAUUGUACAACUUGAGGACAUCUUACAGGAAAUUCAGGUGCCCAAGGGGGGCCAUCGACGUUCUAGAGCAAAAAUGCAAAAGAAAUCACCACGAUAG